rnacentral:rRNA from 1 species
UACGGGGGGAGCAAGCGUUGUUCGGAUUUAUUGGGCGUAAAGAGCUCGUAGGCGGUUUGUCGCGUCGUCUGUGAAAACCCACGGCUCAACUGUGGGCUUGCAGUCGAUACGGGCAGGCUAGAGUUCGGUAGGGGAGACUGGAAUUCCUGGUGUAGCGGUGAAAUGCGCAGAUAUCAGGAGGAACACCGGUGGCGAAGGCGGGUCUCUGGGCCGAUACUGACGCUGAGGAGCGAAAGCGUGGGGAGCGAACAGG